rnacentral:rRNA from 1 species
UACGUAGGGUGCGAGCGUUGUCCGGAAUUAUUGGGCGUAAAGGGCUCGUAGGCGGUCUGUCGCGUCGGGAGUGAAAACUCAGGGCUCAACCCCGAGCCUGCAGUCGAUACGGGCAGACUAGAGUGCUGUAGGGGAGACUGGAAUUCCUGGUGUAGCGGUGAAAUGCGCAGAUAUCAGGAGGAACACCGGUGGCGAAGGCGGGUCUCUGGGCAGUAACUGACGCUGAGGAGCGAAAGCGUGGGGAGCGAACAGG